AAACCUUACCUAACCCUAAACCCUUUCUAACCCUAAUCCCUACCUAACCCUAAACCUUGCUAACCCUAAACCCUGCCUAAACCUAACCCUAAAACCCUACCUAGACCUAACCAUAAAUCCCAUCUAACGCUAAAACUCUACCAACCCUAAACACUAAAAAAUAAUCUCAAAACUUAAUACUAAAAAAACCUAAACUCUACCGCUACGUAAUUUGUUGUUGUGAUAUUCAAAUAACAAAUUACAUAGCAGAUUUUAAAUCUUACAUCCAUUAUUUUAAGAGUAAUUGGUGUUUAUGCACUUAAAAGUGAUUAUAUUUUAAAAACUAACCUCAUCCCAUUAUCAUUUUUUCAUACCUAUUUUACACCUGUAUCACCAUCAGAUCAACAUCCUCUCACCUCAGUCUCCCUUCCUGUGUCAGAUGCAGUCACAUGCUGUGUCAGAUCCAUCUCUCCCGUUUUCUCUUUCCUCUCCCCAUGAAAUCCUUUAAGAAAUCAUUUUAAAAUAGUUAUAAAAAUAACUAAAGCAAUAAAAACUAAAUUGGAACAGAAAAUAGCCAUUGAUAAAACUGAUCGAGAACAUAUAUACUGUUUGAAAAAUGAUAGAUAUUAUAUAUGUUUGAUUUUCAUAAAAAUACAUCCUUUAACUUGAAAGUCAGAUUUUUUAGUUUCGAAUCUUUGAAACCGUUAUGCCUCUUCAGUAAUGGCGGAUUUUCAGAAAUCAACUCAACGGGUCAAGUGGGUUUUCACUCCUCAGAAACUGAGAAAAAACUUGGACGGAGCCUAUAUAAAAGAUGUGGUGGCGGAGUCUGACCCAACGGCGGAGCCGACUUAAACCGCAAAGAAGGUUCUACAUGUAUAUCUUUAGAGGUGAUAAAACAACUUCUUCUUCUGAUUUUUCGGCGAUUUACGUUACCCCGUUAAAUCACAUAUAUAAAAGUAAACAUAUGUAUUUAUAUGAUACUAAUAGUGUUAACAUGCUAAAUUGUUUUAUAACAUGCUAAAUUCUUUUUAUUUUGCUCGUUAAGUUUAAUAUUAGUUAGUUAACUUUAUGUUUAACCGUUAAAUAAGAUAUUAAAUUGAAAAUAACACUGAAUUAUAUAGUGUAUUGUUAAGUUACUGACUUAGUUAACGUGUUAUAAAUAAAUAUAACUCGAUAACAAAAUUUGUAACAUUCUAAAUAUUUGUUAACUCGCUAACAAAUUUGGUUAAGUCACUAAGAAUUUGUUAACUCACUAAUAAAUUUUCUAAAAUAUUUGAUGGUCAAAUUCAUUCUUGAGUUUUAGUGUGGUUUAUCAUAAACCCAGAAAAGAGUAGUUAUCUGGUUUUCAUUUUCUAUAAGUUACGCUUUUCAUUGAAUGCUACAUAAUUUAAAGAAUUCAGCAAGUUUUUUGAGAGACCAAAUCUCUAUCUCAAAAUAAAACUGUAUUAUAAAGAAGAAGAGAGACUGUAAUGUUUUACAAAUAAAAAUUAUAAGAGGAAAAAGAAUGCAAAAAAAAAGAAAACGUAAAAGGAAUGGAAAUGGGAGGAAAGAGAAAUGACAGAGGAGAGAAAAAA